AGAGUUUGAUCCUGGCUCAGGAUGAACGCUGGCGGUAUGCCUUACACAUGCAAGUCGUACGAGAGUUUUUAACUCAAGUGGCGGACGGGUGAGUAACACGUAAGAAUUUGCCUUUAGGGGGGGGAUAACAACUGGAAACGGUUGCUAAUACCCCAUAUGCUUUCGAGUGAAAUGGAUUUCCGCCUAAAGAGAAGCUCGCGGCUGAUUAGCUUGUUGGUAAGGUAAUGGCUUACCAAGGCGACGAUCAGUAUCUGGUUUGAGAGGACGAUCAGACACACUGGAACUGAGACACGGUCCAGACUCCAACGGGAGGCAGCAGUGGGGAAUUUUCCGCAAUGGGCGAAAGCCUGACGGAGCAAUACCGCGUGAAGGAAGACGGCCUAUGGGUUGUAAACUUCUUUUCUCAGGGAGGAACUCAAUGACGUGUACCUGAGGAAUAAGCAUCGGCUAACUCCGUGCCAGCAGCCGCGGUAAGACGGAGGAUGCAAGUGUUAUCCGGAAUCACUGGGCGUAAAGCGUCUGUAGGUGGUUUAAUAAGUCAACUGUUAAAUCUUGAGGCUCAACCUCAAAAUCGCAGUCGAAACUAUUAGACUAGAGUAUAGUAGGGGUAAAGGGAAUUUCCAGUGGAGCGGUGAAAUGCGUAGAGAUUGGAAAGAACACCGAUGGCGAAGGCACUUUACUGGGCUAUUACUAACACUCAGAGACGAAAGCUAGGGUAGCAAAUGGGAUUAGAUACCCCAGUAGUCCUAGCUGUAAACAAUGGAUACUAGAUGUUGAACAGAUCGACCUGUGCAGUAUCAAAGCUAACGCGUUAAGUAUCCCGCCUGGGAAGUAUGCUCGCAAGAGUGAAACUUAAAGGAAUUGACGG
rnacentral:rRNA from 1 species